UCACAAGGUGACGAUCUUUUUUUUGGGGCGGAACCAAAAGUUGGGAAAGUUUGGUUCCGCCCGGAUGUUUCCGCCCAGGCCGGAGAACAGAAACACCGGACAUCCGGCAGCUUCGCGAAGGCUGUAAUCAGCCGAUUGAGCACAGCUGUACAUAGUUAAAGAGAUCGCCGGGUAAUUGGACAACUGGAGUACAUGGAGGAGUAUAAAAAGCACAGUUAAAUCACAGUUCAAGGGGAAUGGACACGAGUAGCGAUUGACACGGGGAAAGCUCCUUUGCCGAAGGCAGGAAGAGACACGCACCCUUUGAAGAGCCCGAAGGCUCUGUUGAUCCGGGCUGCGCGAGGAGCGCGCGGAAAGAAGACGGAGCCACAGGAGGUGAAAGAAGGGCGAGCUGUGGAUCUCUUAAAGGAGCACCCCGUGUGCUUCUUGGGGAAGUCGUAGUGUGUGCUGAGGAACGGAGCUGUGCUCAUUGUUAGACGUGGUGGCUGUCUGUAUUUCUCUCUCUCUCCCUCUCUCGUUGUAGUUUACGGUGGACCUGCUGGAGUAAACGGAAAAUCCUAUGGGUAGAAAGGAACCUUGGUCUAACCAGUAUUUUUGAAGGAGUAAAGCAGGAAGAAAAUUGACCUUGUUGUACAACGUAAACAAAGGCUAUCCGCUGUGAGUAUACCCGUUUGGUGUGGAGUAACUUGCAGAAAUUAACCUGUGUGACCGUUGGAGUCCUCCAGGACUAGGAGGGCGGCCCUACCCCUAUCAGUAGCGUGGUGGGCGAGCCCCUAGAAGUGUACAUCCAAACAGCCACAGCAACGAGACUUUAUUUUGGUCGUGUUUUCCAUCACCCCCAUUUCAGCCCAAGCGCAGUGGAGGACAUCGGGCGCUUUCCCUUGUGGUGUUGCACUUAUAGUGUGGUGAGUGAGACUUUACAAUUAAUAAGCUGUUCACGUUGGAGUGGUGCUGUGUAUUUGCUGUGGGUUGCUGUGUGUCUUGUUAGACGAAGCCCCGCACCAUCCAUUUCCUCUACUGGGCAGAGGACGGAGAGGCUAACGACCUCAGAAAUUACUGCUACCAUACGCUGUGUGCUGUUUCGGAGUACGAAGGGACGCAGACUAAGAGCUGUCAAAGACUGUGAGUAAAAUAUUGGAAGUAUUCGUGGUGUAAACUUACCUGUGUCUGUCUUUGUCGCAGAGUCAGAGGCGAAAGGGUCCGCCGCCCCCGUGGUCUCUACAAAGGGGCGCCCCUGUCCAGGAUUCGGUCGGCCUACGAGCAGUGGAGAUAGGGCAGCGCUCGACCCGGUGAGGUGGUGUGUGACCUUCGCCCCUCUGCUGACCUACGGAAGAAACCAUACCUACCCAGAAAGCUGUAAACAGCAGAGCCGCGACCACCUGUGGAGAGAAAGGAGAAUGAGAAUGAACAUUCGGAGAAUGGACUGUGUGGAGAUCCAGUUGGUGGUGAAGGAGGAGAGCCUAGAGUGGCCAUUAUUUUAAGUUCCCCGUUUCCCUUCCCUAUUUAUCUUUUUUUAAGUAAAUUAAAUAAAGUAAAUUUUUAAUUUA